rnacentral:tRNA from 1 species
GGCAAGGUGGUCGAGUGGUUAAGACGUAAGACUUGAAUCCAACAUUGGAUGUUAUCUUAUCCCUUCGGGGUCGCGCGUUCAAAUCGCGUCCUUGUCG